rnacentral:rRNA from 1 species
AUUGAACGCUGGCGGCAGGCUUAACACAUGCAAGUCGAGCGAGCGGCGGACGGGUGAGUAAUGUCUGGGAAACGGCCUGAUGGAGGGGGAUAACUACUGGAAACGGUAGCUAAUACCGCAUACCAUCAGAUGUGCCCAGAUGGGAUUAGCUAGUAGGUGGGGUAAUGGCUCACCUAGGCGACGAUCCCUAGCUGGUAUGAGAGGAUGACCCGCUACACUGGACCUGAGCCACGGUCCAGACUCCGCCGGUAGGCAGCAGUGGGGAAUAUUGCACAAUUGGCGCAAGCCUGAUGCAGCCAUGCCGCGUGUGUGAAGAAGGCCUUCGGGUUGUAGAGCACUUUCAUCGAGGAGGCGGGAAGCGAAGAAGAAGCACCGGCUAACUCCGUGCCAGCAGCCGCGGUAAUAG